AUACGAACUCGAGCGCUUUUU
ensembl:piRNA 21ur-1621 ncRNA